CCAAGCAGGUGUCGGUGAAGACCAAAAUUAUCGUAAUAUAAUUGGCCACCUGUGUUAAGCAACACCUGCCUUGAGAGGUCGCCAGUGGUGAUAUAAAAAUCACAGGUAUCAAGCAGAUGACGUUAUUUGAGAAAUACUGGAGAAUGAUGCCUCUAUGUGUGGAAUACGACUACAAUGGGGUGAACUGGACACUACUACAAUUAAUGGAGGGACGCUACUUACACACAUCGUCUUGGCUGGAUGCUGGUUAGCUUUUCCGGUUAGUUUUGUUUACUGGCAUCUAUAUCGAGACGUCGGAAAUUAGUAUCUACACACUGGAAGCAAGACUAAUUCAAUGGGAUGAAAACGGUAACUCGUGGGAUGGCGUCACUAAGCUGGGUUCAGAAGCAUAAUCACUGGCUUAUACAGGAGGACGGGCCCUCGCGAAGAAUUUGGCUUCUACCAUAACAUUCUAUCAUAUCACUUUGAUUUAAUGUUAGGCUCGCUAGGCUGGGUGUUUUUUUUUUUUUUUUUUUUUUUGGGGGGGGGGGGGGGUGCGUCUUACGUUAGAUGAACAUAACAUGAAAGAAGACGAUAGUACCAGUCUAAUUGUUCGUCGAGCGCUCGGCCUUCUGAACACAUCACUGUUCUACUGGCCAAUUCAGAAGCAGCACGUUAAAACUGCUUAACAGUUUGAACAGCCUAAAAUGGCAGGAGCUAACUUCUGUUAGACUAUUCUAAGAAUUAAACCAAUUAUUGGAUUGUUCGUUGUUAUCUGAGAUAUUAUUAAUUAUAUUAUUUAUAUCUUUUGAUCAUUUGUCUGUCAGAGUUGAUGCAUUCCUCAUUCUUCCACCCCCACCUUAAGGAAACAGUAACCCUGUAGUUGCCGCAUCUUCAAAACUCGUUUGCAGUAAGCACGCACCAUACAUUUGGUAGUAUUUCAUUAAGAGGUUCAACAAAUAAAAAUUUGAUACCACACGC